GUUAUAUGGUCAAGCGAUUAAGCGCAUACGGUGGAUGCCUUGGCAGCCAGAGGCGAUGAAGGACGUGAUAGCCUGCGAUAAGCGUUGGCGAGGUGGCAAAUACCCUGCGACCCAACGAUUUCCGAAUGGGGAAACCCACUCACCAUCAGGUGAGUAUCUAUAGGCCAAUACAUAACCUAUAGAGGCAAACCCGGGGAACUGAAACAUCUAAGUACCCGGAGGAAAAGAAAUCAACCGAGAUUCCCCAAGUAGCGGCGAGCGAACGGGGACCAGCCCUUAAGCGAUACAACUGACAGACGAACAAGCUGGGAAGCUUGACGAUACAGGGUGAUAGUCCCGUAGUCGAAGUCUGAGUAUCGUGAAAUCGAGUAGGUCGGGGCACGAGAAACCUUGACUGAACAUGGGGGGACCAUCCUCCAAGGCUAAAUACUCCUGGCUGACCGAUAGUGAACCAGUACCGUGAGGGAAAGGCGAAAAGAACCCCGGCGAGGGGAGUGAAAUAGAUCCUGAAACCGUAUGCGUACAAGCAGUGGGAGCACCUUCGUGGUGUGACCGCGUACCUUUUGUAUAAUGGGUCAGCGACUUAUAUUCUGUGGCGAGCUUAACCGUAUAGGGGAGGCGUAGCGAAAGCGAGUCUUAACUGGGCGACCAGUCGCAGGGUAUAGACCCGAAACCGGGCGAUCUAUCCAUGGCCAGGGUGAAGAUUGAGUAACAUCAAUUGGAGGCCCGAACCCAAGUAUGUUGAAAAAUGCUGGGAUGAGCUGUGGAUCGGAGUGAAAGGCUAAUCAAGCCCGGAGAUAGCUGGUUCUCCUCGAAAGCUAUUUAGGUAGCGCCUCACGUAUCACCGCUGGGGGUAGAGCACUGUUUCGGCUAGGGGGUCAUCCCGACUUACCAACCCGAGGCAAACUCCGAAUACCAGUGAGUGCAGCGUGGGAGACACACAGCGGGUGCUAACGUCCGUUGUGAAAAGGGAAACAACCCAGACCGUCAGCUAAGGUCCCAAAAUCCUGAUUAAGUGGGAAACGAUGUGGGAAGGCUCAGACAGCUAGGAGGUUGGCUUAGAAGCAGCCAUCCUUUAAAGAAAGCGUAAUAGCUCACUAGUCGAGUCGGCCUGCGCGGAAGAUAUAACGGGGCUAAAUCAGGUACCGAAGCUACGGGUUCAUCCUAGGUAGAUUGAGAAGUCUGCUGGAGGUAUCACGAGUGCGAAUGCUGACAUGAGUAACGAUAAGGGGAGUGAAAAACUCCCCCGCCGGAAGACCAAGGUUUUCUGUUCUACGUUAAUCGGAGCAGAGUGAGUCGGCCCCUAAGGCGAGGCGGAAACGCGUAGUCGAUGGGAAACGGGUUAAUAUUCCCGUACCGGAUGUGGUUGCGAUGGGGGGACGAAGAAGGCUAGGUGAGCCAGGCGUUGGUUGUCCUGGUGAAAGCAUGUAGGCCGAGGAAUCAGGCAAAUCCGGUUCCUCUGAGGUCGAGAUGCGAGACGAACUGACCACGGUCAGGAAGUCAUCGAUGCCACGCUUCCAGGAAAAGCCUCUAAGCUUCAGAUCACAUGCGACCGUACCCCAAACCGACACAGGUGGUCAGGUAGAGAAUACCAAGGCGCUUGAGAGAACUCGGGUGAAGGAACUAGGCAAAAUGGCACCGUAACUUCGGGAGAAGGUGCACCGGUUCGAGUGAAGGACUUGCUCCGUAAGCUCUUACCGGUCGAAGAUACCAGGUGGCUGCAACUGUUUAUUAAAAACACAGCACUCUGCAAACGCGCAAGCGGACGUAUAGGGUGUGACGCCUGCCCGGUGCCGGAAGGUUAAUUGAUGGGGUUAGGAUUCGUCCGAAGCUCUUGAUCGAAGCCCCGGUAAACGGCGGCCGUAACUAUAACGGUCCUAAGGUAGCGAAAUUCCUUGUCGGGUAAGUUCCGACCUGCACGAAUGGCGUAAUGAUGGCCACGCUGUCUCCACCCGAGACUCAGUGAAAUUGAAAUCGCAGUGAAGAUGCUGUGUACCCGCGGCUAGACGGAAAGACCCCGUGAACCUUUACUAUAGCUUUACACUGGAUGCUGAUGUUGUCUGUGUAGGAUAGCUGGGAGGCUUUGAAACCACGUCGCCAGAUGCGGUGGAGCCAACCUUGAAAUACCAGCCUGACAUCAUUGGCGUUCUAACUCAGGUCCGUUAUCCGGAUCGAGGACAGUGUAUGGUGGGUAGUUUGACUGGGGCGGUCUCCUCCUAAAGAGUAACGGAGGAGCACGAAGGUACCCUCAGCACGGUUGGAAAUCGUGCAUUGAGUGCAAGAGCAUAAGGGUGCUUGACUGCGAGACAGACACGUCGAGCAGGUACGAAAGUAGGUUCUAGUGAUCCGGUGGUUCUGUAUGGAAGGGCCAUCGCUCAACGGAUAAAAGGUACUCCGGGGAUAACAGGCUGAUACCGCCCAAGAGUUCACAUCGACGGCGGUGUUUGGCACCUCGAUGUCGGCUCAUCACAUCCUGGGGCUGAAGUCGGUCCCAAGGGUAUGGCUGUUCGCCAUUUAAAGUGGUACGCGAGCUGGGUUUAGAACGUCGUGAGACAGUUCGGUCCCUAUCUGCCGUGGGCGUCGGAAGUUUGAGAAGAGCUGCUCCUAGUACGAGAGGACCGGAGUGGACGAACCUCUGGUGUUCGGGUUGUCAUGCCAAUGGCAUUGCCCGGUAGCUACGUUCGGACGGGAUAACCGCUGAAAGCAUCUAAGCGGGAAGCCCCCUUCAAGAUGAGACUUCCCUGAGGCCUUGCGCCUCCUGAAGGGCCCUUGAAGACUACAAGGUUGAUAGGCUGGGUGUGGAAGCACAGCAAUGUGUUGAGCUAACCAGUACUAAUUGCCCGUGAGGCUUGACCAUAUAACACCCAAGGGGUUU
rnacentral:rRNA from 1 species